rnacentral:rRNA from 1 species
UAGGGAAUAUUGCACAAUGGGCGAAAGCCUGAUGCAGCAACGCCGCGUGCGCGAUGAAGGCCUUCGGGUCGUAAAGCGCUUUUCGGGGAGAUGAGGAAGGACAGUAUCCCCGGAAUAAGGCUCGGCUAACUACGUGCCAGCAGCCGCGGUAAAACGUAGGAGCCUAGCGUUAUCCGAAUUUACUGGGCGUAAAGCGCGUGCAGGCGGUUCGGUAAGUUGGGUGUGAAAUCUCCUGGCUCAACUAGGAGAGGUCGCUCAAUACUGUCGAGCUCGAGGAUGGUAGAGGGAGGUGGAAUUCCCGGUGUAGUGGUGAAAUGCGUAGAUAUCGGGAGGAAUACCAGUGGCGAAGGCGGCCUCCUGGGCCAUACCUGACGCUCAGACGCGAAAGCUAGGGGAGCAAACGGG